rnacentral:pre_miRNA from 1 species
AAAAAGACAAACCCUAGAUUUCCGUGUCCAACGUUUGAUUGUCCGUCUUAUAUGAAAUUUUUUUAUAGUUAGUAUUUUCAUUGUUGUUAGAUGAUAAAACAUGAUUAAUACUUUAUGCGUGACUUGUCUUUUUAAUUUUUUUAUAUUUUUUUCAAAUAAGACGGACGGUCAAACGUUGGACACGGAAACCCAGGGUUUGUCCUUUU